UCUACAUUAUCAGACAUCAUGAUGAAAUUUUCUGUAAUUUUCUGUAUUUUUAUAAUAGUAAUAGGUUUUCACGAGUCUUUACAAUGCUCAUGUGAUUGGGGAUUCUUCGAACUCGAAGGUGAAAGCAUCCAUAACUCCAUCUGUCAUAACAGACAAUAUAUAUUGUUUAAGGCAAAUAAAAAAACAGUAAUACCAGGACCUAGUGGUCAUAACGAGAUUGAUGGAAAUGUUCGGUUUACUGUUACUUUACUGAAAAUGUAUACGGAUGGUCGUGUAGACAAUUUUGCCGGUGGAAGAACUGCUUUUUUGAAUGCUCCUUUGCCUGGAUCAUUAUGCUCAUACAUUGAUUUUCAACUUGGAAAGAAAUACUAUUUAAAUGUUAACCAUGCAACUAAGGAUUCCAAAAGCUUUAACUUCAAUGGAUGCCAUUAUUCAAAAAGUGUGCAAAGCAUAACGAAUGUGGAACGUCGUAUUAUUACAGGAGAGUUGGAUUGUGCACCAAGGGAAACGAUGUUGUCAUAAUUUACAUUGGAACUCAAUCAAUAAAAAAUCAAAUAUGUUAUUACUUAGUCGACAUAAAUCAAUACCGAUGAUAGAAGUAUAAAUUUUUUACCAGUUCA